rnacentral:misc_RNA from 1 species
UACGUAGGUCGCAAGCGUUAUCCGGAAUUAUUGGGCGUAAAGCGUCCGUAGGUGGUUUUGUUAGUCUGUGGUUAAAGCCCGGAGCUCAACUCCGGAAUCGUCACGGAAACUACAAAACUUGAGAAAUGCAGGGGCAAGUGGAAUUCCAGAAGUAGGGGUAAAAUCCGUAGAUCUCUGGAGGAACACCAAACGCGAAGGCAUCUUGCUGGGCAUUUUCUGACACUAAGGGACGAAAGCGUGGGGAGCAAACGGG